UACGAAGGGUGCAAACGUUGCUCGGAAUUAUUGGGCGUAAAGCGCACGUAGGCGGCAUUGCAAGUCGGAUGUGAAAUCUUAUGGCUUAACCAUAAAAGUGCAUCCGAAACUGCAGUGCUUGAGUACUUAAGAGGAUCGCGGAAUUCCCGGUGUAGAGGUGAAAUUCGUAGAUAUCGGGAGGAACACCAGUGGCGAAGGCGGCGAUCUGGGAAGAUACUGACGCUGAGGAGCGAAAGCGUGGGGAGCGAACAGG
rnacentral:rRNA from 1 species